GGCUGUUCUGUAUUUGUCUGUGAAUACUGGAAACUUUUUGACAUUUGUUUUGCAAUAUGCACAUGAAGGCAUACACACGCCCCAGGUCGCACGUCUCCAUGCUCCUCGCAGACCUCAGCCUUGAGUUGCUUUGUUCCAGGGUAUCCCAAAAACUGUCUGAUGAGACGGCUCACAGGCUGCAGGAGCUUAAAUAACGGUCCACUUAAAACGGCAGAAACACAUGGCUUCUCGGGCUGUAUUAACGUGAGCCUGUGUCACCACUGGCUGCAGAAGGAUCCGACUGUGUCCUUUUCACCAAGACUUUCUGAAUGUGCUCUUAAAAAUCUUGGAGCCAACCUGUGA
rnacentral:lncRNA from 1 species